CUUCACUAGUAGAUGGACCUGCGUUGUAUUAGCUAGUUGGUGAGGUAACGGCUCACCAAGGCGACGAUACAUAGCCGACCUGAGAGGGUGAUCGGCCACACUGGGACUGAGACACGGCCCAGACUCCUACGGGAGGCAGCAGUAGGGAAUCUUCGGCAAUGGGGGCAACCCUGACCGAGCAACGCCGCGUGAGUGAAGAAGGUUUUCGGAUCGUAAAGCUCUGUUGUAAGAGAAGAACGUGUGUGAGAGUGGAAAGUUCACACAGUGACGGUAACUUACCAGAAAGGGACGGACUAACUACGUGCCAGCAGCCGCGGUAAUACGUAGGUCCCGAGCGUUGUCCGGAUUUAUUGGGCGUAAAGCGAGCGCAGGCGGUUUAAUAAGUCUGAAGUUAAAGGCAGUGGCUUAACCAUUGUUCGCUUUGGAAACUGUUAGACUUGAGUGCAGAAGGGGAGAGUGGAAUUCCAUGUGUAGCGGUGAAAUGCGUAGAUAUAUGGAGGAACACCGGUGGCGAAAGCGGCUCUCUGGUCUGUAACUGACGCUGAGGCUCGAAAGCGUGGGGAGCAAACAGGAUUAGAUACCCUGGUAGUCCACGCCGUAAACGAUGAGUGCUANGUGUUAGGCCCUUUCCGGGGCUUAGUGCCGCAGCUAACGCAUUAAGCACUCCGCCUGNGGGAGUACGACCGCAAGGUUGAUACUCAAAGGAAUUGACGGGGGCCCGCACANGCNGUGGAGCAUGUGGUUUAAUUCGAAGCUACGCGAAGANACYUACCAGNUCUKGACAUCCSGAUGCUAUUCCAACAGAUAAGAAGUUUUUUCAGAACAUAGGUGACAGGUGGUCCAUGGUUUUUGUCAGUUAAUGUAGGGAGAUGUUGGGUUAAAUCCCGCAACGAGCGCAACCCCUAUUGUUAGUUGCCAUCAUUAAGUUGGGCACUCUAGCGAGACUGCCGGUAAUAAACCGGAGGAAGGUGGGGAUGACGUCAAAUCAUCAUGCCCCUUAUGACGUGGGCUACACACGUGCUACAAUGGUUGGUACAACGAGUCGCGAGUCGGUGACGGCAAGCAAAUCUCUUAAAGCCAAUCUCAGUUCGGAUUGUAGGCUGCAACUCGCCUACAUGAAGUCGGAAUCGGUAGUAAUCGCGGAUCAGCACGCCGCGGAGAAUACGUUCCCGGCCCUUGUACACACCGCCCUUCUCACCACGAGAGUUUGUAACACCCGAAGUCGGUGAGGUAACCUAAGGAGCCAGCCGCACUAUGGCCGUAAAAAUUCGA
rnacentral:rRNA from 1 species